rnacentral:rRNA from 1 species
UGCAGUCGAGCGGCAGCACGGGGAGCUUGCUCCCUGGUGGCGAGCGGCGGACGGGUGAGUAAUGCAUAGGAAUCUGCCCGGUAGUGGGGGAUAACGUGGGGAAACCCACGCUAAUACCGCAUACGUCCUACGGGAGAAAGCGGAGGAUCUUCGGACUUCGCGCUAUCGGAUGAGCCUAUGUCGGAUUAGCUAGUUGGUAAGGUAACGGCUUACCAAGGCGACGAUCCGUAGCUGGUCUGAGAGGAUGAUCAGCCACACUGGGACUGAGACACGGCCCAGACUCCUACGGGAGGCAGCAGUGGGGAAUAUUGGACAAUGGGCGAAAGCCUGAUCCAGCCAUGCCGCGUGUGUGAAGAAGGCUUUCGGGUUGUAAAGCACUUUCAGCGAGGAAGAAAGCCUCUGGAUUAAUACCCCAGAGGAAGGACAUCACUCGCAGAAGAAGCACCGGCUAACUCCGUGCCAGCAGCCGCGGUAAUACGGAGGGUGCGAGCGUUAAUCGGAAUUACUGGGCGUAAAGCGCGCGUAGGUGGCUUGGCACGCCGGUUGUGAAAGCCCCGGGCUCAACCUGGGAACGGCAUCCGGAACGGCCAGGCUAGAGUGCAGGAGAGGAAGGUAGAAUUCCCGGUGUAGCGGUGAAAUGCGUAGAGAUCGGGAGGAAUACCAGUGGCGAAGGCGGCCUUCUGGCCUGACACUGACACUGAGGUGCGAAAGCGUGGGUAGCAAACAGGAUUAGAUACCCUGGUAGUCCACGCCGUAAACGAUGUCNACUAGCCGUUGGGACCUUUAAGGACUUAGUGGCGCANUUAACGCGAUAAGUCGACCGCCUGGGGAGUAC